rnacentral:rRNA from 1 species
UACAGAGGUCUCAAGCGUUGUUCGGAUUCAUUGGGCGUAAAGGGUGCGUAGGCGGCGCGGUAAGUCGGGUGUGAAAUCUCGGAGCUUAACUCCGAAACUGCAUUCGAUACUGCCGUGCUUGAGGACUGGAGAGGAGAGUGGAACUGCGAGUGUAGAGGUGAAAUUCGUAGAUAUUCGCAAGAACACCAGUGGCGAAGGCGGCUCACUGGCCCGGUACUGACGCUGAGGUGCGAAAGCGUGGGGAGCAAACAGG